UCCCCUGUGGUGGAAUUGGUAUACACACUCAGUUAGCAACUGGGCAGUGGUCGCGCCCAACCUUAAACACGCGGCCUUGCGGGUUCGAAUCCCGUCAGGGGAACCA
rnacentral:tRNA from 1 species